rnacentral:misc_RNA from 1 species
AAGAAAAAGAAGGAAAUGAAAGGGUACACGAUUUUGAAAGACCCCGCAAGCGUAUUUAUGACAACGACGGGGCUAGAGAAAGAGAAGAACAAUGGCAGUGGACACGUGUUGUAGUAGCCAUUGGAUGAGUUAAUUGAUGGAAUUGAAGUAGGUCGUCGCUGAGAGGGAGCCCUGAAUGCGCCGUUCAGUUGUCUCUUCGGUAGCCGUUAAUACGCGGCUAAAGUAGUUGGUCGCUCCGG